GAGUGAAGCGGCAACAGCUCAAAUUUGAAAUCUGGCCCCCGCGGGGCCCGAGUUGUAAUUUGUAGAGGGUGUUUCGGGCGCGAUGCCGGUCUAAGUUCCUUGGAACAGGACGUCGUAGAGGGUGAGAGUCCCGUAUGCGACCGGCGUUCAAGCCCGUGCGAAGCCCCUUCGACGAGUCGAGUUGUUUGGGAAUGCAGCUCCAAAUGGGUGGUAAAUUUCAUCUAAAGCUAAAUACCGGCCAGAGACCGAUAGCGGACAAGUAGAGUGAUCGAAAGAUGAAAAGCACUUUGGAAAGAGAGUCAAACAGUACGUGAAAUUGUUGAAAGGGAAGCGCUUGCGAUCAGACCGGCCCGGAGGCGAUCAGCCGUUGCUCGUCAGCGGUGCACUCGCCUCCGAUCCGGCCAGCAUCGGUUCGGGCGGCGGGACAAAAGCCCCGGGAAUGUAGCUUCCCUCGGGGAGUCUUAUAGCCCGGGGCGCCAUGCCGCCCGCCCGGACCGAGGACCGCGCUUCGGCUAGGAUGCUGGCGUAAUGGUCGCAAGCG
rnacentral:rRNA from 1 species